rnacentral:rRNA from 1 species
CUACGGGAUGCUCCAGUGAGGAAUAUUGCACAAUGGAGGGAACCCUGAUGCAGCAACGCCGCGUGGAGGAUGACACAUUUCGGUGUGUAAACUCCUUUUAUAUGUCAAGAAAAUGACGGUAGCAUAUGAAUAAGCACCGGCUAACUCCGUGCCAGCAGCCGCGGUAAUACGGAGGGUGCAAGCGUUACUCGGAAUCACUGGGCGUAAAGGACGCGUAGGCGGGUUGGAAAGUCAGGUGUGAAAUCCUACAGCUUAACUGUAGAACUGCACUUGAAACUUCUAAUCUAGAGUAUGGGAGGGGGAGAUGGAAUUAGUGGUGUAGGGGUAAAAUCCGUAGAUAUCACUAGGAAUACCUAAAGCGAAGGCGAUCUCCUGGAACAUUACUGACGCUAAGGCGUGAAAGCGUGGGGAGCAAACAGGAUUAGAUACCCCUGUAGUC